rnacentral:lncRNA from 1 species
CAGAGCUAUUUGCAAGCAUUUGUGUCAACGCUUAGUGGAAUUUUAGUCUCUUCCUUAAACAAAGAUCACCUACCUUGGAUGUGCUGGGUGCUAUGUUAGCUGAUGUGAAGCAACAAAAAGCAAAUCAAAUAUAUCCUCAAGAGCCUGGGCCGUGGCAAGUGACCUCUAUAUUAGGAAAUAAUUGCCACACAGCAGUAAGAGAGCAGUUUAUCCAGGGAAGGAGUGAGGGAGAGUCUGAAUGUGGCUUUGGGGAUGUGUGUUAUUGGGGUGAAGGGUUAGAUACUGCCCUCUAUUCAGUCUGUUCUAGCCUCUGUACCCUGGGCUCCCUCCACUGGGUAACUGUCAAGCAUCAGUCCUGCAGGCUAGGAAGCCCCAGACUCAGUUGUUCCACGUGGGCACCAUUUUCUGUGUUUCCUAACACAGCAGUGGGGUCAAAGAACUCCCUCAAGGGCACUAACUCCAUUCCUGACCUCAUGACCUUCCCCAAGGACCCUCCUCAUAGGACCGUCUCACUGGAAAUUAAGUUUCAACACAUGAACUUGGGAAAGAGGCAAAUGCUUAAAACACAGCACCCCUGCCUGAAGUAUGAACUAAGGAGAUUGGGAGGUUAAAAUACUGCCAGCCGAGCCUAGGGGUGAAAUAUGCCGAGAAGUAUGCCGAGCCAGGCAUAUUUCUCUCAUCUGAGGCUUGUGGGGACGCAGGGAGUUAUGAGAGGACAGCUGUAGAGGGGAGCUGCUGCCUCAGCCAGCAACAGAAGGCACUGCGGACUGUGGACUGUCUGCCACAGAGGGAGCCAAGGACGGAGAGACGUGGUGGUAACCUUUGAGCGUUGGUUAAUGGAAAUGCAGAGUUUUCUCGCUAAGAGCUGUGAUUCAAAUUUUGGCCCUCAUGUCUCAGAUAAAAGCUUUGCGGGAUUGGGAGGGUUUUGUUGUUGUUGUUGUUGUUUUCCAUUUUCUUAUCUGUUUUUAUUUAUUGAGACAGUUCUCACAUAGCCUAGUCUGGUCUCAAACUCUCUAUUAAGGAUGACCUUGAACUUUUCUGAUCCUCCUGCCUCUACCUCCCAAGUGCUGCGAUUACACAACUGUGGCCCCCACUCCUAUCUCCUGUGUGCCUGGGACUCAAGCCCAGCACUUACUGCAUGCCGGGCAAGCACGCUGUUCACUUGAGCUGUGUCUCCCAGCCCAAUGGUAUUUUUUUUUUAAGAUUUAUUUAUUUAUAUGUGAGUACGCUGUAACUGUCUUCAGACACACCAGAAGAGGACAACAGAUCUCAUUACAGAUGGUUGUGAGCCACCAUGUGGUUGCUGGGAAUUGAACUCAGGACCUUCAGAAGAGCAGUCAGUGCUCUUAACUGCUGAGCCAUUUCUCCAGCCCCCAAUGGUAUUUUUAAAAAGAUAGAAAUGUUUGUGGUUUCUUUAAAGACUUGGCAACUAGGCUCACGGUUUCAUAGGGUAACACACUCAGGGCCAGCUUCCCCCUUAGAGAGGACACCUUCCGAGGCCACAGAGCAACAGGAGAGGCAGUGAGAGCUAAAUAAGAAGAGGCCGUGGCUCUCCUCUGUAGUGAGAAUUUUGGUUUCUUUUAAAAAAGCAAUAGAAGUGUUAUACAGGAAUGUUUUUGUUUUAAUCCCAGCUGUAUGGUACGGGGCUGCUUGAGAUUGUCCACAGCGUAGGCUGUGAUUUGCCUCGUGCUCCAGCAGAGGUGUGAUUUUUCCAGCAGCAGAUAGUUUUAGCAAGUGUAUGAUGUUUGGAAUUCUGGGGACUUUUCAGAGGGUGUAUAAAUGCUAGAAUCCCGCUAGAAGGGGCUGCCGGUUGGCCAGUUGAAGGGUUAGCACUGUUGUUGUGGUUUGUCAAGUGGUCCCAUGUAGAGAGACAAGAAAAGGAAAUUGGAUAUCCUGAUGGCAAAAGUCAAAAUCAUCAAGGAAUGCCCCUAACCAGCAGGAAGUAGUCUAAUGAUAUUGAUGCCUCCCUUUUCCCUCUCCCUCUCGUUCUCUCAAGGGACAAGGGUGGAGAAGGAUGGUAGACAUAGGAACCCAUAAAGUAGCCAGAAAGCCAGCCAUACUCCUCAGCCUCUCAAAUGCCACCUCACACUUGUGCCCACACCUCCCAGGGGUCCCCAGUGCCUGGUCCAUCAGCCCCCCUCUUCAUGUCACCUGCUUGGCCCUGUGGACACUGAAGGUCAAGGACACCCACACAAGGUCACACCAGCAGGUAUGGUAGCUUAUUCUGGUAUUGCUUUUCUUCAUUACUCAGUGUUGGCAUUGAUAUUAAUAUUGAUAAAUUAGCUUAAAAAAAAAAAAAGACUAGCCCAGGCUGACAGAGAACUUAGGUCCCUUCUGCCUUAAUACACUAGAAAAAUAUAUCUAGGAAUGACGUAGGUUGACCACGUGCCCCUUCACUGUGCACUUAGUCCUAGCACAAACCAGUCAUGUCUGGAGCCAGAGGGACCAACAGGCAAACUUAGGCGUUUUCUCUCUGAAACGAUUUAACUAAACCCAGCCCAGGCCAUCCAUCAGUACACACACACACAAAGAAAAAAGAAGACAUUCCCACACUCUAUAACUUAAAAGGAGAGUUUGCAUGUGUUAUUUCAAAAGUAGAAAAAACAAACAAACAAAACUUCUGGUUUUGAACAUAUAAUAAUAAAUUUCCUACUUCUUUUGACCUUCCUUUGAAAGUUUGUUAUCUGUUUUCUUCAGCAUGCUGGCGUGUCUUGGCUCAGAAACCCUGGGAACCUAUGAAGACUCUUUUUUUUUUCUUCAUUUCAUGUUUUUUUCUGUGAGAAAUAGGAAGGUGAUGGACUGGACUACAGAUUGAAACCUAAAAGAUACAAGGACCAGAAAUUUUUUUCAUAUUGGAUUAACAGAGUAAAGAAUUGAUCUAGUUGGUCUAUAGCCCUGGACUGGGAUUCCAAUUAAACAAUAAAGUCCUAAAAUAUUCACAGGGAGAAUAUACCACAUCAAGAAAAGCUUAUAUGUGCUCAAGUGUGUUUGAUUUGGAUCUUCAAGCGGCAGGAUGUUGGGGAAAUCAAGAUCCCAGUCUCCAGGUCCACUGAGGCCCCGUCAUGUCAUGUAGUUUGUUUGUAAACAGGACCCCUGCCUGCAUUCUGGGCUGAGGACCCCAUGAUGCCUCUCUUGUGUCCCCAGGUUUCAUCCAGGGCAGUGGUUCUCAACCUGUGGGUUGCGACCCCUUUGAGGAUAAAAUGACCUUCUCACAGGGGUCACCUAAGGCCAUCAGAAAACACCGAUAUUUACAUUAUGAUUCAUAACAGUAGCAUAAUUAGAGUUGUGAAAUAGCAUUGAGAGCAGUUUUUUGGUUGGGGAAUCACCAUACCAUGAGAAACCACAUGAAGGGUCGCAGCAUAGGAAGGUUGAGAAUCACUGCUCUAGGGCUCUGCCUCUCCUUUAUGACUGGAAUGUUAGGCAGAUAUAGGCACAGCCUCCAGCCCACCUCAUCCAACUGGAGGCAUGAAAAGAUGUCUUCCAUAAAACUCUCUGCUGUUGACAGUCACAUACUGGCUGACUGACUGAGAGCCAGGAUUCCCUCUGACGGCCUCAUCUCAUUCCUUAUCUUUGCUGGGCACAUUGCAUCAGCUGGAUCCAGUCUCCCUUUGUCAGCAUGAAGAAGGGCAUGAAUGCUUUGUGACACGCAAGGCUGCUCACUUUUAGUAUGUCCGAUUGUUGUUUCUCUGAGUACUCCCUAUUUCUCUGCUCUGCUCGGUCUCCUCUCUUUACAUCCCUGCUGCCAUGUUUUUUCUAUGUUGAAUCAUCCUCUUGACUUAUUCUCAUGUUUUCAAGGAUCUAUAAACAAAACACAUUACCAAAAAUGUAAAUCAUAAU